AUGGCUCGGGACGAACGCUGGCGGCGUGCCUAACACAUGCAAGUCGAGCGAGGAGAUCCUCGGGAUGAUCCUAGCGGCGGACGGGUGAGUAACACGUGGACAACCUGCCUCAUAGAGAGGAAUAGCCUUCCGAAAGGGAGAUUAAUACCUCAUAACAUUGCAGUUUCGCAUGGAACAGCAAUUAAAGGAGUAAUCCGCUAUGAGAUGGGCCCGCGGCGCAUUAGCUAGUUGGUGAGGUAACGGCUCACCAAGGCGACGAUGCGUAGCCGACCUGAGAGGGUGAUCGGCCACAUUGGGACUGAGACACGGCCCAGACUCCUACGGGAGGCAGCAGUGGGGAAUAUUGCACAAUGGGGGAAACCCUGAUGCAAGCAACGCCGCGUGAGUGAUGACGGCCUUCGGGUUGUAAAGCUCUGUCUUCAGGGACGAUAAUGACGGUACCUGAGGAGGAAGCCACGGCUAACUACGUGCCAGCAGCGGC
rnacentral:rRNA from 1 species